CCGAAAUAGCUCAGUUGGUUGCGACGAAUGCGAAGCAUUUGUUGCCGAAGAAGAGCAAUUCAUUCGUAAUGAAUAGGUCGCCGGUUCGAGUCCGGCUUUCGGCU
rnacentral:tRNA from 1 species